rnacentral:rRNA from 1 species
GACGAACGCUGGCGGCGUGCUUAACACAUGCAAGUCGAACGGUAAGGCCCUUCGGGGUACACGAGUGGCGAACGGGUGAGUAACACGUGGGUGAUCUGCCCUGCACUUCGGGAUAAGCCUGGGAAACUGGGUCUAAUACCGGAUAGGACCACUGCCUGCAUGGGUGGUGGUGGAAAGCUUUUGCGGUGUGGGAUGGGCCCGCGGCCUGUUCGGUGGUUGGUGGAGUGAUGGCCUCCCAGGGCGACGACCGGUAGCCGGCCUGGGAGGGUGGCCGGCCACAGUGUGACUGAGAUACGGCCCAGACUCCUACUGGAGGCAGCAGUGAGGAAUAUUGCACAAUGGGCGCAAGCCUGAUGCAGCGACGCCGCGUGAAGGAUGACGGCCUUCGGGUUGUAAACCUCUUUCAGCACCGACGAAGCGCAAGUGACGGUAGGUGCAGAAGAAGGACCGGCCAACUACGUGCCAGCCGCUGCGGUAA